ACGACAGAGGAUGAAAUGGUUGGAUGGCAUCACCGACUCAGUGGACGUGACUUUGAGUAAACUCCGGAGUUGGUGAUGGACAGGGAGGCCUGGUGUGCUGCAGUCCAUGGAGUAGCAAAGAGUCCACCGACACGACUAAGCCACUGAACUGAUUGGUUUCUAAAAAAGAAGUUUGGAUUUUCAGAUGUUUGGAUUUUUCCAUUAAAGAGACUUUGAAAGGACCAAAUAGAAGGCAUUGGCAACAUUUACAGAAGUGGCCAUGAAUUUUACCUGGGGCAGCAGGGACUGAACAGAUGGCUGACCACAGGGGCACGAUGCUGGGGACUUACAGACCCUACUCACCACUGAGCACCAGGACAGCAAACCAAGGACUUUCCUGGUGAUCCAGUGGUUAGAACUCCAUGCAGGGGGCACAGGUUCGAUCCCUGGUCGGGGGAACUAACAUCCUGCAAGUCAAGUGGCUCAUCCAAAAAACAAACAAACAAAAAGACAGCAAACCAGAUGUGAUCUGUAAGUUGAAACAAGGAGGAAAGCUAUGGACAAAGGAGGGAGAAAUGUGAGGUAGGUGCUAACUGGCAGGUUCCCUCCCAGAACCUGAGAGGGAAAAGAUUUGUAUGUGAGAUUUCUGUAAUAUAAAGAGCUCACCUUAUGGCAAAACUAAGGAGCCCACCUUCUGGUAAAAACAUUUGUGAAGAUGUGUCUAUUCCUUCAUAAUAUUGAAAGACUCAUAAGGAACAGCUUAUGACUUUUUUUGAAAAGAUGAUGACUUGACAGACUGACAAUAGAACAGGUGAGCUUUCCACCCCAGACAUGUUCUCUUACAGGAAAAUCCAGACCAAGGUGAGAAUGCUGGAAAACAUGUUGGUGUGAGGGCUUCCCUGGUGGCUCAGUUAGUAAAGAAUCUGCCUGCAAUGCAAGAGAUGCAGGUUCAAUUCCUGGGUUGGGAAGAUCCCCUGAAGAGAGGCAUAGUAAUCCAUUCCAGUAUUCUUGCCUGGAGAAUCCCAUGGACUGAGGAGCCUGGAAGGCUACAGUCCAUAGGUGUCGGGAGCGGCGUUAGGCAUUACUGACAAAAUAGAGGCACGGCCCUAAACCCCCUCCCUUUGUUCUGUAGGCAUGGACCCAGAAUGAAGGAGUUAGGCUUUGUGAUUCUGACUUGUUUUUCCCUUUCCUCGGCUGAGUUGACUGAAGAGAAUAUUAAGGUGCUUAUUGUUUUUGAGAGGAGCAUGAGAAGGCAUAAAGCCUUCUGCAGCUGUGCUCAAAGAAUAAUUCAUAAAGUUAAUCACUGCCAUUUGUUCAAGGACUUUUACAAAAAAGUAUUCCAGGGUGAGCACACAGGCUGCAGCUUGAGGCCAUGGGAGGGAUUGUUAUCUGAAGCCCAUUUGUGAGAAAAGUUUAUGGCAAAGGAGUUUGCUGAAUUUAGGGCUUAGGAAUAAUUAAAAUAGUUAGAAGCUAAAGAUUUAAGGAUUGCUGUAGUGUUAGCAUAUUCUACUAUAGCUUAUAGAAAUUAGGGACUUUAGAGAUAUUAUUAGGUAGAAGCCCUCUCUAAGAAAUAGUGAGCUUAGGAUACUAGGGGCAAACAGGACUUAGAAAGAUAAGAAUUAAACUGAAGAAUGUGAUAUGCAGCCCAGACAUUAGCAUGAGUUACAGUGUAUUCACAAGGAC